rnacentral:rRNA from 1 species
GAUGAACGCAGGCGGCGUGCCUAAUACAUGCAAGUAGAACGCUGAAGCUUGGUGCUUGCACCGAGCGGAUGAGUUGCGAACGGGUGAGUAACGCGUAGGUAACCUGCCUCUUAGCGGGGGAUAACUAUUGGAAACGAUAGCUAAUACCGCAUAAAAGUCGACAUUGCAUGAUGUUGACUUGAAAGGUGCAAUUGCAUCACUAAGAGAUGGACCUGCGUUGUAUUAGCUAGUUGGUGAGGUAACGGCUCACCAAGGCGACGAUACAUAGCCGACCUGAGAGGGUGAUCGGCCACACUGGGACUGAGACACGGCCCAGACUCCUACGGGAGGCAGCAGUAGGGAAUCUUCGGCAAUGGGGGCAACCCUGACCGAGCAACGCCGCGUGAGUGAAGAAGGUUUUCGGAUCGUAAAGCUCUGUUGUAAGAGAAGAACGAGUGUGAGAGUGGAAAGUUCACACUGUGACGGUAACUUACCAGAAAGGGACGGCUAACUACGUGCCAGCAGCCGCGGUAAUACGUAGGUCCCGAGCGUUAUCCGGAUUUAUUGGGCGUAAAGCGAGCGCAGGCGGUUAGAUAAGUCUGAAGUUAAAGGCUGUGGCUUAACCAUAGUACGCUUUGGAAACUGUUUAACUUGAGUGCAGAAGGGGAGAGUGGAAUUCCAUGUGUAGCGGUGAAAUGCGUAGAUAUAUGGAGGAACACCGGUGGCGAAAGCGGCUCUCUGGUCUGUAACUGACGCUGAGGCUCGAAAGCGUGGGGAGCAAACAGG